GAUGAACGCUAGCGGCAGGCUUAAUACAUGCAAGUCGAGGGGCAGCAGGACUGUAGCAAUACAGUUGCUGGCGACCGGCAAACGGGUGCGGAACACGUACACAACUUUCCUUUAAGUGGGGAAUAGCCCGGGGAAACCCGGAUUAAUACCCGUAACAUUAUGAAGUGGCAUCAUUUUAUAAUUAUAGCUCAGGCGCUUAAAGA
rnacentral:rRNA from 1 species